rfam:Branchiostoma floridae genomic scaffold BRAFLscaffold_113, whole genome shotgun sequence.
GCUUAGAUGGUGUUCAGCACCAAGGACAGGGUUGUUAGUGCUUAGAUGGUGUUCAGCACCAAGGACAGGGUUGUUAGUGC